AUGCUGUGGGGUUCUUCAGAGGAAGGAAUUGCAAAACCAUCUCGGAGUGUUGUUUGUCCAAGAAAACUAUGGAAUUCACUGGGUCUUCAUAAAUUAACAGGUGACUUAAAGACACACACACACACAAUAAGUUGCUGUGAGUUUUCUGGGCUAUGUGGCCAUGUUCCAGAAGCAUUAUCCUCUGACAUUUUGCCCACAUCUAUGGCAGACAUCCUCAGAAGUUGUAAGGUCUGUUGGAAACUAGGCAAGUGGGGUAUAUAUAUCUGUGGAAUGUCCAGGGUGGGAGAAAGAACUCUUGUUUGUUUGAGGCAAGUGUGAAUGUUGCAAUUGAUCACCUUGAUUAGCAUUUGUCUCUUGCCAGGGGGGCAUCCUUUGUUAAGAGUCAUUAGCCGUCCUUGGGGCUCCUCUGCCCUCAGAGUGUUGCUUCCCAUCUACUGUUUUGAUUUUUGAGUUUUUUAAUACUGGUAGCCAGAUUUUGUUCAUUUUCAUGGUUUUCUCCUUUCUGUUGAAGUUGUCCACAUGUUUGUGGAUUUAAGUGGCUUCUCUGUGUAGUCUGACAUAGUUGUUGGAGUGGUCAAGCAUUUCUGUGUUCUCAAAUAAUAUACUGUGUCCAGGUUGGUUCAUCAAGUGCUCUGCUAUGGCUGAUAUCUCUGAUUGAAUUAGUCUGCAGUGCCUUUCAUGUUUUUUGACUCGUGUUUGUGCACUGUGUUUGGUGGUCUCUAUGUAUACUUGUCCACAGCUGCAUGGUAUCUGGUAGACUCCUGCAGAGGAGAGAGGAUCCCUCUUGUCUUUCACUGACUGUAGCAUUUGUUGGAUUUUCUUUGUGAGUCUGUAGAUAGUUUGUGGGUUGUGCUUCUUCAUCAGUUUGCCUAUGUGGUCAAUGGUUCCCUUGAUGUAUGGUAAGAACAUCUUUCCUCUGGGUGGAUCUUUGUCUUGGCUCUCAUGGCUUGUUCUUGGCCUUGCAGCCAAGAACGAGUUCUUUCUCCCACCCUGGACAAUAUUCCAGAGAUACUGUAUAUAAACCCCACUUUCUUAAGUUUCCAACAGACCUCACAACCUGUGAAGAUGCCUGCCAUAGAUGUGGCCGAAACGUCAGGAGAGAAUGCUUCUGGAACAUGGCCAUACAACCCGAAAAACUCGCAGCAACCCAAUGAUUCCGGUCAUGAAAACAGUAAAUAGUAUGAGGCCUUUCACAGUGGAAGGGCUUCCCUGCCUUGCGUCACCUUCGCGACGUCUGACGUCACUUCCCCCCGGGCCGGGCCCUGAUUGGUCGCGGGGAGCGGAAGCGAGGGCGGGCGCUCGGUCCCCGUUGCCGCAGUGACAGGACCAGA
rnacentral:lncRNA from 1 species